rnacentral:rRNA from 1 species
AGCGAACGCUGGCGGCAGGCUUAACACAUGCAAGUCGAGCGGGCCUAUCGGGGUCAGCGGCGGACGGGUGUGUAACGCGUGGGAACGUGCACUCUGGGUCGGCAUAACUCUGGGAAACUUGUGCUAAUAGCGGAUACGCCCUUAUGGGGGAAGGCUUGCUGCCGGAGGAUGGUCCGGAGUCUAAUUAGCUCGUUGUGUAGCUAACGGCUCAACAAGGCGACGAUCAGUAGCUGGUUUGAGAGGCUGGUCAGCCACACUGGGACUGAGACACGGCCUAGACUCCUACGGGAGGCAGCAGUGGGGAAUAUUGGACAAUGGGCGCAAGCCUGAUGCAGCCAUGCCGCGUGAGUGAUGAAGGCCGUAAGGUUGUAAAGCUCUUUUAUCCGGGACGAUAAUGACGGUACCGGAGGAAUAAGCCCCGGCUAACUUCGUG